GGGCGGGGCGCCGCGGAGGGCGGGGACGCGUGGACUCAGUAAUGUAAACUGUGGUAAACUGUGGUUAAAGCCCCAUGGAAGCGAUCCUAGAGUGGCGGGUGGCGCCAAGCUAUCCCAGUCGAUCGUACCUAAGUUAUAAUUUGAAAAAUAGGUCUAUCUUGUCCGAUAUAACAUCCUUGAUGGCUCAUGGUGAGAUUACCGGCACCAAGAAGUUUGUUUCUAGGACUUCUAUGCUAUCCCCACAAACAGAGCACAUUUUCACAGUAGAAGCUGACUUCCUCUCCCUUCCUGAGGCUGCAAGUCUGGAGUUAUCAGCUCUGCAGUCCACCUCUGAAGCCUCAAGGGGAGAAUCCUUCCUAGUCUUGUACUAGCUUCUGGCAUUUAUCCAAAGCCCCCGACCCCCCUUAGGUUAAAGCUUCUUUUGUUAGGUGCCCCUAAUUGUUAUUAAGUUUCAAACUUAACGUUAACAUAUCAAAGCUGACCUGGCUGCUGGCUUCCCCCAGCAUCCCUCAGUUCCUCCCUAACUGGACAUGGCUGGCAUACCCCCUCUCUACCGUGAACUCCCCUUCCAGCACAGGCUCUUCCCUCUAGAAUCCAGACAUUUUGAUUACCAGUUCCUUUGUCCCUUUAGACUCCUGAUUGCUGCACAUGGUCUCCCCCUCUCCCCACAAGGUCCAGCUCAGUCUAGUCAUGUCCACUCUGGACGUCCCUGCCUCUACCUACACUCAACCUUUUAUCUACAAUAAACUUUCUCCCCACAAUA